rnacentral:rRNA from 1 species
GGGCCCGCACAAGCGGUGGAGUAUGUGGUUUAAUUCGAUGCAACGCGAAGAACCUUACCAGGGUUUGACAUCCUGCGAAUCUCUUGGAAACGAGAGAGUGCCUUCGGGAACGCAGUGACAGGUGGUGCAUGGCUGUCGUCAGCUCGUGUCGUGAGAUGUUGGGUUAAGUCCCGCAACGAGCGCAACCCACGUCUUUAGUUGCCAGCAUUUAGUUGGGCACUCUAGAGAGACCGCCGGUGAUAAACCGGAGGAAGGUGUGGAUGACGUCAAGUCAUCAUGGCCCUUAUGGGCUGGGCUACACACGUGCUACAAUGGUCGGUACAGAGGGCCGCAAUCCCGCGAGGGGGAGCCAAUCCCACAAAGCCGAUCUUAGUCCGGAUCGCAGUCUGCAACUCGACUCCAUGAAGUCGGAAUCGCUAGUAA